UAAAGGUGCAAAGCCUUUAUUUUGCACCCUGUGAAACAUAAAUGUCAGUUUUUAAAAAACUGGGCAACGGCAUGCCGCCUGCCCAUGACUCCCAAGCCUUUCCCGAUCUCCUGCCCCCUUCUCCCUUUGUUUUGACAGAUCGGGGGCUUGGGAGUCCUGGCUGGCCGGCCAUUGCCCAGUUUUUUUAAAAAAACUGCACAUUUAUGUUUCACAGGGUGCAAAAGAAGGGCUUUGCACCUUGC